AUUUUGGACAAUGGGGGAAACCCUGAUCCAGCCAUCCCGCGUGUGCGAUGAAGGCCUUCGGGUUGUAAAGCACUUUUGGCAGGAAAGAAACGUCGCGGGUUAAUACCCCGCGGAACUGACGGUACCUGCAGAAUAAGCACCGGCUAACUACGUGCCAGCAGCCGCGGUAAUACGUAGGGUGCAAGCGUUAAUCGGAAUUACUGGGCGUAAAGCGUGCGCAGGCGGUUCGGAAAGAAAGAUGUGAAAUCCCAGAGCUUAACUUUGGAACUGCAUUUUUAACUACCGGGCUAGAGUGUGUCAGAGGGAGGUGGAAUUCCGCGUGUAGCAGUGAAAUGCGUAGAUAUGCGGAGGAACACCGAUGGCGAAGGCAGCCUCCUGGGAUAACACUGACGCUCAUGCACGAAAGCGUGGGGAGCAAACAGGA
rnacentral:rRNA from 1 species